rnacentral:rRNA from 1 species
CGGACGGUGAGUAACACGUGAGGAACCUGCCUAUCAGAGAGGGAUACCGUUUGGAAACGAACGUUAAUACCGCAUAACGCAUAGAGGUCGCAUGGUCUUUAUGCCAAAGAUUUAUCGCUGAAAGAUGGCCUCGCGUCUGAUUAGCUAGUUGGUGAGGUAAACGGCCCACCCAAGGCGACGAUCACGUAGCCGGAACUGAGAGGUUGAACGGUCACAUUGGGACUGAGAUACGGCCCAGACUCCUACGGGAGGCAGCAGUGGGGAAUAUUGGGCAAUGGGCGCAAGCCUGACCCAGCAAUGCCGCGUGAAGGAAGAAGGCUUUCCGGGUUGUAAACUUCUUUUGUCAGGGACGAGCAGAAGACGGUACCUGACGAAUAAGCCACGGCUAACUACGUG